ensembl:lncRNA
AUGGUCUCAGCUCUAAUAGUCAUUCCCUUAGGCAGACUAUUUAUGAGAGAGUUUCAACGCUGGGUAGUCUCUCUGAGACUAGACCCGUUACGGCACUCCCAGAGGAGAGUGAGAGUGACGUCCGCGGCAGUCUUGGCACUGCGUCACUGGCGGCGCCUGUGCUUUCUGGUACCAGAGGUACCGAUGGGCGUUGUCCAGACCAGGAAGGUCAUAACAACGAACGCGUCGUCCAGCUGGGGGGGCAUUCACGAGGGCAGGGCAGUGAACGGGAGAUGGGGUCCCCAUCUGAGCCACUGUCACAUAAACUACUUGGAAAUGCUGGCGGUCUUUCUAACGUUGAAGCAUUUUCUUCCUUUUCUGAAAGGACAUCAUGUUCCCUUGAGAACGGACAACACUACAGUUGUGGCAUACAUAAACAGACUGGCUGCAAUAUCUGCCUGUCAUGUAGGUUUUGAUAACAAAACUGUGGGGCAGCACCCUUUGGUAUGCCGGUUUAUGAAGGGUGCGCGUCGCGCUUUGCCAGUCUCAAAACCGAUCUCUCCGUCAUGGGAUCUGGUUCUGGUGCUUGAUGCGCUUUCUGUGACUCCAUUUGAGCCACUGGACAAAGCUGACCUGAAAUUAUUGUUGUUUAAGACGGUGCUGCUGUUAGCUUUGGCUUCAGCGAAGCACGUAAGUGAAAUUCAUGCUCUUUCUGAGAAUUCAGCGUGUACGCAAUUUAUGCUAGGGGACGCAGGGGUGCUUUUGAAACCUAAUCCUGCUUUUAUGCACAAGGUGGUCAAUUCUAUUGUUCCUCUCAAGUUAAGAGCCUUUAACCCACCACAUUUUGCUUCAGCAGAAAAGCAAAGGCCGAAUACGUUAUGUCCGGUGCGUGCUUUAUGCAUUUACAUGGAGAGGACUAAAGGGUUCAGAGAGAGUGAUCAGCUCUUUUUGUCUUGGGCGAAGCCACGAAUGGGGAAGCCGAUUACUAAACAGCGUUUAUCCCACUGGAUAGUGGAGGCAAUUUCUCUUGCAUAUUCCAGUAAGGGUCUUACGCCUCCGUCUGGUUACGGUCAACGAGAGGAAUGUCAACGACAUGGGCCCUCUUUAAGGGGGUCACAUUAA